AGAGUUGUGAAAGUUACCAACCACAAACCUCCGAGUCGAAGUAAAAAGGGCCCAGGUCCCAGUUCGCCCCACGAGUACAAGGCUCCGUCCUUCAAAGACGAGUACUCAUUCACCUAUCAUGGAAUCAAAUAACUCUAAGACUGAGACUACUGCAAAAUUAGACAGAGAAUGAAAACAUACCGGCCUUUGCUCAAAAGGAACCUCAAUUUCUGACCCCGGAUCCCAACUCUGCCCGCGGAAGCCGCUCGUUUCCCCGCCUGCCCCAUCUUUCAAGGCCUUGAUAGAAACCCCCCUGGGCAGCCUUCUAGCACUACGGUAUUGGAUGAGCCAUGAGCUGGAGCUGCUACCAACCGUCACUAACUUGACUUGUGGAGGACUAAAGAGCAGGGAGCAAUACACUUGCGCUCGGAGCAUCUAUUUCCUGAAAAUCGAACCGAACCGAGUGCAGCCGAGGGGUAUCCUAAAUUUCUUGGUUCAACUGGCAAGAAACCGGGGGAGGAGAUGAGUGUUUUACAGGGAUGGUUGUGUUUUUUCAGGGACCAUGCAUUAUUUACGUGGAGGAAAACAACUGAUUCGGAAAAUCAUAUUUGUAAUUUACUUGGAAGAGGAGGGCUUGUUUGGACAAUGACCCAAAGCCAGGUAGGCAAAAUGUGUGGUACUACUUAUAUACUUACAUUGGAAGGGGGGACCCACACAAUUGGACAUGUGUGCAAGCCUCUCCUUUGUGUGUGUACUUUUGGACCGUCGAUUAUGUAGGCUUGUAAAUAGGAUUAUCCAAAUGUUAGGGACUUUAAAAAGUAAUUUUGUUCUUGUCUGUAAACAGUGUGUUGGCGACGUUGAUUGUGCAAAUGAAACGUGAACACCUUUAGCCUUCCACGCAGUGUCGUGUGUAUUCCUAAUGCUUUCAUGGGACCGCAUAAGGGUGCGCUGUUUUGUGCACAUUUCUCGUGCUUUCAUGGGACGGUGUAAGACCUUGUAGCUCAUGUGAUUAAAGGGUUAAAGGGUAUUGGCCCUAGUCCUGAGAACACAGUUCCGAGUUCAUAUAAUAAACGGGCCAAACUUGAGCUUUGCUA